AUUGAACGCUGGCGGCAGGCCUAGCACAUGCAAGUCGAGCGGCAGCGGGAAAGUAGCUUGCUACUUUUGCCGGCGAGCGGCGGACGGGUGAGUAAUGCCUGUGAAAUUGCCCAGUCGAGGGGGAUAACAGUUGGAAACGACUGCUAAUACCGCCUACGCCCUACGGGGGAAAGCAGGGGACCUUCGUGCCUUCCGCGAUUGGAUAUGCCAAGGUGGGAUUAGCUAGUUGGUGAGGUAAUGGCUCACCAAGGCGACGAUCCCUAGCUGGUCUGAGAGGAUGAUCAGCCACACUGGAACUGAGACACGGUCCAGACUCCUACGGGAGGCAGCAGUGGGGAAUAUUGCACAAUGGGGGAAACCCUGAUGCAGCCAUGCCGCGUGUGUGAAGAAGGCCUUCGGGUUGUAAAGCACUUUCAGCGAGGAGGAAAGGUUGAUGCCUAAUACGUAUCAACUGUGACGUUACUCGCAGAAGAAGCACCGGCUAACUCCGUGCCAGCCGCCGCGGUAA
rnacentral:rRNA from 1 species